rnacentral:rRNA from 1 species
AUUGAACGCUGGCGGCAGGCCUAACACAUGCAAGUCGAGCGGAUGAAGGGAGCUUGCUCCUGGAUUCAGCGGCGGACGGGUGAGUAAUUCCUAGGAAUCUGCCUGGUAGUGGUUGAUAACGUCCUGAAACGGGCGCUAAUACCGCAUACGUCCUUAGGGAGUAAGUGGGGGAUCUUCGGACCUCACGCUAUCAGAUGAGCCUAGGUCGGAUUAGCUAGUUGGUGGGGUAAAGGCCUACCAAGGCGACGAUCCGUAACUGGUCUGAGAGGAUGAUCAGUCAAACUGGAAGUGAGACACGGUCCAGACUACUACGGGAGGCAGCAGUGGGGAAUAUUGGACAAUGGGCGAAAGCCUGAUCCAGCAAUGCCGCGUGUGUGAAGAAGGUCUUCGGAUUGUAAAGCACUUUAAGUGGGGAGGAAGGGAAGUAAGUUAAUACCUGGCUGUUUUGACGUUACCAAAAGAAUAAGCACCGGCUAACUUCGUG